CGAAACGCGAUGAGAAAGAAAGUAAAGUGAACAGGUCAUGCUAAGAGAGUCCCAGUUGGUGAGAAGGGAUGAUGAUUGUUGAUUUGAAAAUGGCUUUUGAGCGGAUUUCCUGAAUAAUGAAGGAAAUACGGAUGCCCCGUUAACAGGCAGCAGUCUCCGACUUUCGGGUACUGGCAGAGGUAAGGUUCGCGAGGAUCUUACGAACAAAGGUGGUCACGCAUUCUUAAUGCCCUUAGC
rnacentral:ncRNA from 1 species